rnacentral:rRNA from 1 species
GACGAACGCUGGCGGCGUGCUUAACACAUGCAAGUCGAACGGAAAGGCCCUGCUUUUGUGGGGUGCUCGAGUGGCGAACGGGUGAGUAACACGUGAGUAACCUGCCCUUGACUUUGGGAUAACUUCAGGAAACUGGGGCUAAUACCGGAUAGGAGCUCCUGCUGCAUGGUGGGGGUUGGAAAGUUUCGGCGGUUGGGGAUGGACUCGCGGCUUAUCAGCUUGUUGGUUGGGUAGUGGCUUACCAAGGCUUUGACGGGUAGCCGGCCUGAGAGGGUGACCGGCCAAAAUGGGAGUGAGAUACGGACCAGAAUCCUACGGGAGGCAGCAGUGGGGAAUAGUGCACAAUGGGCGGAAGCCUGAUGCAGCAACGCCGCGUGCGGGAUGACGGCCUUCGGGUUGUAAACCGAUUUCGCCUGUGACGAAGAGUGAGUGACGGUAAUGGGUAAAGAAGCACCGGCUAACUACGUG